rnacentral:rRNA from 1 species
AUUGAACGCUGGCGGCAUGCCUUACACAUGCAAGUCGAACGGCAGCGGGGACUUCGGUCCGCCGGCGAGUGGCGAACGGGUGAGUAAUGUAUCGGAACGUACCUUUCAGUGGGGGAUAACGUAGCGAAAGUUACGCUAAUACCGCAUAUUCUCUGAGGAGGAAAGCAGGGGACCUUCGGGCCUUGCGCUGAUGGAGCGGCCGAUAUCAGAUUAGCUAGUUGGUGGGGUAAAGGCUCACCAAGGCUACGAUCUGUAGCGGGUCUGAGAGGAUGAUCCGCCACACUGGGACUGAGACACGGCCCAGACUCCUACGGGAGGCAGCAGUGGGGAAUUUUGGACAAUGGGCGAAAGCCUGAUCCAGCCAUGCCGCGUGAGUGAAGAAGGCCUUCGGGUUGUAAAGCUCUUUCGGACGGGAAGAAAUCAUGAGGGCUAAUAUCCCUUGUGGAUGACGGUACCGUAAUAAGAAGCACCGGCUAACUACGUGCCAGCCGCCGCAGUAA